GAUGAAGAACGUAGCGAAAUGCGAUAAGUAAUGUGAAUUGCAGAAUUCAGUGAAUCAUCGAAUCUUUGAACGCAUCUUGCGCUCCUUGGUAUUCUGAGGAGCAUGCCUGUUUGAGUGUCAUUAAAUUCUCAACUACACUGACUUUGAAUUGGUGUGGCUUGGAUUUGGGGGGAAAAUUGUUGUGGGCUUUUUGUAUAGUCUGCUCCCCUGAAAUUGAUUAGCGGUACCUUUGUGGAACUGUCUACAGGUGUGAUAAUUAUCUACAUCUUAGACAUCUGCUGGAAUGCUGCUUUCUAAACCUUACUUGUAUUGACAAUCUUGACCUCAAAUCAGGUAGGACUACCCGCUGAACUUAAGCAUAUCAAUGAGCGGAGGA
rnacentral:misc_RNA from 1 species